rnacentral:lncRNA from 1 species
CUAACACAAAGACUAACCCUGCCGCUAGACUUUACCCUAGUUCUAAUUCUGGCCCUAACCAUAAACCAAAUGCUAACCCCAAAACUGACCCUUACCCUAACACAAACCCUAGCUACAAACCUUAUCCUAACCAAAAACCUAACCAUAACAAUAGACUUAUCCAUAACCCUAACCCUAAAACUAGUCAUAAACAUAACCCUAGCUCUUACAUUACCCAUAGCCCUAAUGCUAGCCAUAAACCUCAAACAAAACCUAGCAUUAAACCUAGCCCUAAACCUAGCCCCAAGCGUAACCCUAACACUAGCCCUGGCACGAAGCCUAACCCAAAUGCUUGCCCUAGCCCUAACCCUAACCUAAACUCUAAACCUUACUCUAAACAUAAUCCUAGCCCUAACCCUAAAUCUAACCCUAAACCUAGACCUAAUCCUAACUGUAACCAUAGCCCAAAUCCCAGCUCUAACUGUAUCCAUUACCUUAAACAUAACCCUGAUCCUAAUGCUAACCCAAGCCCUAAUUAUACCCCUAAAUCUAACUGUAGCCUUGAUUCUAAUGCUAAACCUCACCUAAACCUAACACUAGCUCAAACCAUAACACUUACACUAAAACUAAACCUGACAGUAACCUUAGCCAAAAUGCUAACCUUAAUGCAAGCCCUAACAUUAGCACUAACUAUAUUCAUUACCCUAAACAUAAGCCUAACCCAAAUGCUAACCCUAGGCCUAACAUUAACCCUAUCACUCACACUAACCCUAUGCAUUACUCUAAACCUAACCUGAACCCUAAUCCUAACCCUAUCCAUUACUCUAAUCCUAAACCUAACCAUAACAUUAAUUCGAACCCUAACCCUAAAUCUUAACCUAACCAAACCCUAAACCAGACUCUGACCCUGAUAAUACACCUAGCUCUAAACCUGACCCUAACCAUAAACCUAACCCUUACACUAGACCUGGACAUAAACCUAACCUAACACUAUCCCUAACCAUAACCCUGGAACUGACAUUAGUCCUAGCCCUAAUUCUACCUAGACCUAACCCUAACAUAAAUCCUAGCCCUCAUACUAGUCCUAAACUGAGCCUUAAUCCUAAUCUGAAACGUCACCCUAUCCCAAUCCCUAAUUUUAAUCCUCAAUCUAGCCCUGAAACUAGCUAUAACCCCAUCCUUAUCCCUAAAAUUAACGCUAAAAAUAACAUUAACC